rnacentral:rRNA from 1 species
AUUUGAUAGUACCUUACUACUUGGACAACCGUGGUAAUUCUAGAGCUAAUACAUGCUAAAAACCCCGACUCCGGGAGGGGUGUAUUUAUUAGAUAAAAAACCAAUGCCCUCCGGGGCUCUUUGGUGAUUCAUGAUAACUUAACGGAUCGCAUGGCCUUGCGCCGGCGACGGUUCAUUCAAAUUUCUGCCCUAUCAACUUUCGAUGGUAAGGUAUUGGCUUACCAUGGUCUCAACGGGUAACGGGAGAUUAGGGUUUGACUCCGGAGAGGGAGCCUGAGAAACGGCUACCACAUCCAAGGAAGGCAGCAGGCGCGCAAAUUACCCAAUCCCGACGCGGGGAGGUAGUGACAAUAAAUACUGAUACAGGGCUCUUUUGGGUCUUGUAAUUGGAAUGAGUACAAUUUAAACCCCUUAACGAGGAACAAUUGGAGGGCAAGUCUGGUGCCAGCAGCCGCGGUAAUUCCAGCUCCAAUAGCGUAUAUUAAAGUUGUUGCAGUUAAAAAGCUCGUAGUUGAAACUUGGGCCUGGCUGGCCGGUCCGCCUCACCGCGUGCACUGGCCCGGCCGGGCCUUUCCUCCUGGAGAGCCGCAUGCCCUUCACUGGGUGUGCCGGGGAACCAGGACUUUUACUUUGAAAAAAUUAGAGUGUUCAAAGCAGGCCUUUGCUCGAAUACGUUAGCAUGGAAUAAUAGAAUAGGACGUGCGGUUCUAUUUUGUUGGUUUCUAGGACCGCCGUAAUGAUUAAUAGGGAUAGUCGGGGGCAUCCGUAUUCAAUUGUCAGAGGUGAAAUUCUUGGAUUUAUUGAAGACGAACUACUGCGAAAGCAUUUGCCAAGGAUGUUUUCAUUAAUCAGUGAACGAAAGUUAGGGGAUCGAAGACGAUCAGAUACCGUCGUAGUCUUAACCGUAAACUAUGCCGACUAGGGAUCGGGCGAUGU